GAUGAACGCUGGCGGCGUGCUUAACACAUGCAAGUCGAACGGAAAGGCUCCUGCUUGCAGGGGUACUCGAGUGGCGAACGGGUGAGUAACACGUGGGUGAUCUGCCCUGCACUUCGGGAUAAGCCUGGGAAACUGGGUCUAAUACCGGAUAGGACCACAUUUUGGAUGGUGUGGUGGAAAGUUUUUCGGUGUGGGAUGAGCUCGCGGCCUAUCAGCUUGUUGGUGGGGUAAUGGCCUACCAAGGCGUCGACGGGUAGCCGGCCUGAGAGGGUGUACGGCCACGUUGGGACUGAGAUACGGCCCAGACUCCUACGGGAGGCAGCAGUGGGGAAUAUUGCACAAUGGGCGCAAGCCUGAUGCAGCGACGCCGCGUGGGGGAUGACGGCCUUCGGGUUGUAAACUCCUUUCGCCAGGGACGAAGCGCAAGUGACGGUACCUGGAGAAGAAGCACCGGCUAACUACGUG
rnacentral:rRNA from 1 species